UAGGGAAUCUUCGGCAAUGAGGGCAACCCUGACCGAGCAACGCCGCGUGAGUGAAGAAGGUUUUCGGAUCGUAAAGCUCUGUUGUAAGUCAAGAACGGGUGUGAGAGUGGAAAGUUCACACUGUGACGGUAGCUUACCAGAAAGGGACGGCUAACUACGUGCCAGCAGCCGCGGUAAUACGUAGGUCCCGAGCGUUGUCCGGAUUUAUUGGGCGUAAAGCGAGCGCAGGCGGUUUGAUAAGUCUGAAGUUAAAGGCUGUGGCUCAACCAUAGUUCGCUUUGGAAACUGUCAAACUUGAGUGCAGAAGGGGAGAGUGGAAUUCCAUGUGUAGCGGUGAAAUGCGUAGAUAUAUGGAGGAACACCGGUGGCGAAAGCGGCUCUCUGGUCUGUAACUGACGCUGAGGCUCGAAAGCGUGGGGAGCGAACAGGAUUAGAUACCCUGGUAGUCCACGCCGUAAACGAUGAGUGCUAGGUGUUGGAUCCUUUCCGGGAUUCAGUGCCGCAGCUAACGCAUUAAGCACUCCGCCUGGGGAGUACGACCGCAAGGUUGAAACUCUAAAGUGAAUUGAC
rnacentral:rRNA from 1 species